rnacentral:rRNA from 1 species
GACGAACGCUGGCGGCGUGCCUAAUACAUGCAAGUUGAGCGCUGAAGGUUGGUACUUGUACCAACUGGAUGAGCAGCGAACGGGUGAGUAACGCGUGGGGAAUCUGCCUUUGAGCGGGGGACAACAUUUGGAAACGAAUGCUAAUACCGCAUAAAAACUUUAAACACAAGUUUUAAGUUUGAAAGAUGCAAUUGCAUCACUCAAAGAUGAUCCCGCGUUGUAUUAGCUAGUUGGUGAGGUAAAGGCUCACCAAGGCGAUGAUACAUAGCCGACCUGAGAGGGUGAUCGGCCACAUUGGGACUGAGAAACGGCCCAAACUCCUACGGGAGGCAGCAGUAGGGAAUCUUCGGCAAUGGACGAAAGUCUGAACGAGCAACGCCGCGUGAGUGAAGAAGGUUUUCGGAUCGUAAAACUCUGUUGGUAGAGAAGAACGUUGGUGAGAGUGGAAAGCUCAUCAAGUGACGGUAACUACCCAGAAAGGGACGGCUAACUACGUG